ACGGAGUUGUACCACUACUAUCAGGCCAAGAAAUAGAACAUUACCAGUACCCUGGAAAUGAGAUCCUGCUCCUCUAUGGUUAUUACACGCCUUUAAAGUUCACUUCAACUUCCUCUUCAGGAGAGAGGAGAGAAAUCAGCUGUCUUGGGGCCAGCUUUUAUUUCUGAUGAUUAUUGUCUCUUACCUGGUAUCCAGUCCUUUGGAAUGUAGAUCAUCUUUCUUAGCAGUCACUAUGUGGAGCUGGUAAAGAAGAAAAAGGUACCCUGUUAUUUCAGUGUUUGCCCCAAGUAAAGAUUCUCAGAUCACUGUUACAUGGGUAACUGACUUUUCCUUUCAUUUCCUCCAGCAGAGUAGAGACUAGGCAGUCAUUUUUAAA
rnacentral:lncRNA from 1 species